CCCUGUGGCUCAGUUGGUAGAGCAUGGUGUGUGCAAUGCCAGGGUUGUGGGUUCAAAUCCCACAGGGG
rnacentral:tRNA from 1 species